rnacentral:rRNA from 1 species
UACGGCCUACGGGGGGCAGCAGUGGGGAAUAUUGGGCAAUGGGCGCAAGCCUGACCCAGCAACGCCGCGUGAAGGAAGAAGGCUUUCGGGUUGUAAACUUCUUUUCUCAGGGACGAAGCAAGUGACGGUACCUGAGGAAUAAGCCACGGCUAACUACGUGCCAGCAGCCGCGGUAAUACGUAGGUGGCAAGCGUUAUCCGGAUUUACUGGGUGUAAAGGGCGUGUAGGCGGGGACGCAAGGCAGAUGUGAAAACCACGGG